ACUUUCAACAACGGAUCUCUUGGUUCUGGCAUCGAUGAAGAACGCAGCGAAAUGCGAUAAGUAAUGUGAAUUGCAGAAUUCAGUGAAUCAUCGAAUCUUUGAACGCACAUUGCGCCCCCUGGUAUUCCGGGGGGCAUGCCUGUCCGAGCGUCAUUACAACCCUCAAGCUCA
rnacentral:rRNA from 2 species